GUGAGGUGGAGCAAAACUCAAAAAAUGAUCUCAGUUCGGACUGUAGGCUGCAACUCGCCUACACGAAGUUGGAAUUGCUAGUAAUCGUGGAUCAGCAUGCCACGGUGAAUACGUUCCCGGGUCUUGUACACACCGCCCGUCACACCAUGGGAGCUGGUAACACCCGAAGUCAGUAGUCUAACCGCAAGGAGGACGCUGCCGAAGGUGGGAUUAGCGACUGGGGUGAAGUCGUAACAAGGUAUC
rnacentral:rRNA from 1 species